GACGAACGCUGGCGGCGUGCCUAAUACAUGCAAGUCGAGCGAGUCUGCCUUGAAGAUCGGAGUGCUUGCACUCUGUGAAACAAGAUACAGGCUAGCGGCGGACGGGUGAGUAACACGUGGGUAACCUGCCCAAGAGAUCGCGAUAACACCUGGAAACAGAUGCUAAUACCGGAUAACAACAGAUGAUGCCUAUCAACUGUUUAAAAGAUGGUUCUGCUAUCACUCUUGGAUGGACCUGCGGUGCAUUAGCUAGUUGGUAGGGUAACGGCCUACCAAGGCGAGGAUGCAUAGAGGAGUUGAGAGACUGAUCGGCAAAAGUGGGACUGAGACACGGCCCAAACUCCUACGGGAGGCAGCAGUAGGGAAUCUUCCACAAUGGACGCAAGUAUGAUGGAGCAACGCCGCGUGAGUGAAGAAGGGUUUCGGAUCGUAAAGCUCUGUUGUUGGUGAAGAAGGACAGGGGUAGUAACUGACCUUUGUUUGACGGUAAUAAAUUAGAAAGUCACGGCUAACUACGUG
rnacentral:rRNA from 1 species